rnacentral:rRNA from 1 species
CCAAUAGCGUAUAUUAAAGUUGCUGCAGUUAAAAAGCUCGUAGUUGAAUUUCGGGACCAUCAUGUCGGUCGUGCCUCGGUACGUACUGGCAUUGUUGGUUUCUCCCUUCUGACGAACCACGAUGUCAUUUAUUUGGUGUUGUGGGGAAUCAGGACUGUUACUUUGAAAAAAUUAGAGUGUUUAAAGCAGGCUCACGCUUGAAUACAUUAGCAUGGAAUAAUGAAAUAGGACGUUUGAUUCUAUUUUGUUGGUUUCUAGGAUCGACGUAAUGAUUAAUAGGGAUAGUUGGGGGCAUUAGUAUUCAAUUGUCAGAGGUGAAAUUCUUGGAUUUAUUGAAGACUAACUACUGCGAAAGCAUUUGCCAAGGAUGUUUUCAUUAAUCAAGAACGAAAGUUAGGGGAUCGAAGACGAUCAGAUACCGUCGUAGUCUUAAUCAUAAACUAUGCCGACUAGGGAUCGGAUGAUGUUAAUUUUUUAAUGACUCAUUCGGCGCCUUACG